rnacentral:rRNA from 1 species
UACGUAGGUGGCGAGCGUUAUCCGGAAUUAUUGGGCGUAAAGAGCGCGCAGGUGGUUGAUUAAGUCUGAUGUGAAAGCCCACGGCUUAACCGUGGAGGGUCAUUGGAAACUGGUCGACUUGAGUGCAGAAGAGGGAAGUGGAAUUCCAUGUGUAGCGGUGAAAUGCGUAGAGAUGUGGAGGAACACCAGUGGCGAAGGCGGCUUUCUGGUCUGUAACUGACGCUGAGGCGCGAAAAGCGUGGGGGAGCAAACAGG